rnacentral:lncRNA from 1 species
GUUGAUGAAGCUGGCUUUGAACUUUCGAUUCUCUUGCCUCAGCCUGGAUCUGCUGGAAUUAUAGGCAUGCACCACCAUACUGGGCUCCAUCUGAACUUUCAAAAGAGGUUCUUUUAAACUGGACUUAAUGCAUUGAAUUUUAUCUUUCUAGUCUGCCAGACUACCAUCAGAUUUAGAUUUCUACUGUUCAUGUCUUAGGAGUAUCUACUGCAUAAAAUUCUUAUAAUGAUGCCUUAUCACCCAAAGGAUAAAAGUACAAACUCCUUUCCAUGAGGUAAAAUGAUUUAGUCAGAAAAAAAUUGGAAACACCAGUAGUAGCAACAGAAAUAGAAAACACUUGUGCUCAAUGCAAGCUAACACUGUUUUUUAUACUUUUUUACCUAUAUAAUUACUCAUUAAAUUUUUAUGUCUACUUAUGUAAUAGUAAAUGCUAAGAUCUGUUACAGACUGUAAAUUUUCUGCUAGUUCAGAAGAAGGAAGUGGAGAGAAGACAGGGAUAGCUUCAAGUGGCUAAAUUGAGUUUCAUGUUGAAUAACAAGUAGUUCGAAUAGAUGUAAAUAAAAGGAAGGAACAUAAGAAUACCCGUUAUUGAAUUAGGGCUCACCCAUAUGACUCCAUUUACCUUAAUUAUUUCUACAAGCACAAAUACACUCACAUUUUGAAGUACUGAGGAUUAGGACAUUAACAUGAAUUUGGGAGGCAGGGAGCACAAUUCAGCCUAUAACAGAGAGGCAGAAAUGACUAUGAGCCACAAACUAAACUUGGGGCUGGUGGAAUUUGUGUUGACUAGGGUGGCAAGAUUUUAGAGUGUUUUAAAUGCCAGGCAGAGGAGUCAAUAUGGAUGGUUUUAAACAAAUUACUGCUAUUCAAACCAUUCCUGAUGUUUAAUUAGCACCAAAAGGGUGGGGGGAGAUCAAGUUAGAAUAGUUUGUACUACCUGACUACAUAUUAUAUCCACUUUUAUCAUCUAACACGACUUCUUAUCUUGCCAAGAUAAUUAAAUUAUCUAAAAAUCAUCUCAGAAUUAAUGUCAUAAAUUUUAUCCUUUUAACCCUAUUUCAUACAAUAAAAUAUAUCCCCCACUCAUGCAGUAGAAUCAAUGAAAUACUUUUUACCUUUCUCAACUAUUUCAUUUUUGCUGAAUGUUUAAAUACUUGGCUAAAAUGUUUUUUCAGUCAAAACACCAUUUAUUCUAUGUAAGAUAUAUUUCAUUUUUUAAGAAAAAGUAAAAUUACCUCCCAAAAGUUAUUAUAAUAAGAGCACGUAACACUAAAUAAAUUUGAAACUCACAAAUAACCAACUAAUACAUUUUUGCUAGCAAUGAAAAAUUAACUGAAAUCUGUUUAAAAGGGAUUAAAUACUGAAAUUACAGGAAUGAGAUAACUUACAUAUACAUAGAUCAAUGAAAGAAUUAUUUACUCCUCUUGAAUACUAAAGGCCUUAAUGAAGGUCAUUAAAAUGCUGAAUAUUAACCUACUUUUUAAAAUAAGGAACUUAAAGCAAAAC